UACGAAGGGGGCUAGCGUUGCUCGGAAUGACUGGGCGUAAAGGGCGCGUAGGCGGCGACCCAAGUCAGAUGUGAAAGUCCUGGGCUUAACCUGGGGACUGCAUUUGAUACUGGGUUGCUUGAAUUCGGGAGAGGAUAGCGGAAUUCCCAGUGUAGAGGUGAAAUUCGUAGAUAUUGGGAAGAACACCGGUGGCGAAGGCGGCUAUCUGGACCGACAUUGACGCUGAGGCGCGAAAGCGUGGGGAGCAAACAGG
rnacentral:rRNA from 1 species